UCACCUUAGCAUUCAAGGCUUGUCUAG
rnacentral:piRNA from 1 species